rnacentral:rRNA from 1 species
AACGAACGCUGGCGGCGUGCCUAAUACAUGCAAGUCGAGCGAGAAAGUCUCUUCGGAGGCGAGUAAAGCGGCGCACGGGUGAGUAACACGUGGGCAAUCUGCCCUCGAGUCUGGGAUAACCCGGGGAAACUCGGGCUAAUACCGGAUACGGCUGCGGGGUCCUUGGACCCUGUGGAGAAAGAUGGCCUCUUCUUGAAAGCUAUCUCUCGAGGAUGAGCCCGCGUCCUAUUAGCUAGUUGGUGGGGUAACGGCUCACCAAGGCAAAGAUGGGUAGCUGGUCUGAGAGGAUGACCAGCCACACUGGAACUGAGACACGGUCCAGACUCCUACGGGAGGCAGCAGUAGGGAAUUUUGGGCAAUGGGCGAAAGCCUGACCCAGCAACGCCGCGUGUGGGAUGAAGGCC